rnacentral:lncRNA from 8 species
CUACAACUAUUUGCCGUGAACCCUGUCAACAUUGAGUUGUUCAAUUUCGCUGGAGCUCCUCAAAAUCUGACUAAAUGCUUUACUGAGCUUAUCUUCCUGCAGAACUCCAACUUCCUCCCACUGCAGCUUCCACCACACUUACAAUGUUUUGUCCCAGCCUCAGCUUACUCUAAGCUCAAUGAGUCAGUGUGGUUGUCCUGGGCAACCUGAACCAAUCCUGUACUAACGUGGACUCAGAGGUGCGCACCAUCAGGAUCUAUCUCCAUUUUUGUUACAUCUUAACCUUAGACCUGUAUUUUGAACACAUGGAAAUGAAAUGUUACAGUAUGAGCCAUUAUUUCCAUGUGAUCACAAUCCAUUGAUUGGUUAAGUGAUACUGUUACUUAAUCUUCGCUGAGAUCAUUUCCUUCCAGAGUUCUUCCACACUGGCAUCGAAUAUCCAAAUUGUCAGUCCAGGAUCAAUCACGGCCCUGGGCCCGCAGGUCUAUAAGUCUGACCACUGGGCAGAUCACUAAAGCCCCGCCCAGUGUGAUUUUACAAUCCCUGAGUACUCUGAGCAGUGUUUCUGGGUGGAAACUUGGGACAGUCCUUGUCCAUCAUACAGAUUCUCAUCACCCAAAACUUCCAGAUAAACAAUACCGACAGUCUAAUAAACCUGGGCUCUUUAGUGGGAGGUCUUCCUACCCAAACACUCACCGCAAUACCCGCGCAGCAGGUUCUAACAACAUCCGCCAACCCAAAAUGUGUUACCAACAUGCUGACUGCUCCAACAAUUGUGAAACAGAUCUAUGUUAAUAAGAUCAUCACAGUUGACAUGAAACCAACAGAACUAAUAGUCAAUGUCCCACAUGAAAUGGCAACCGAAAUUCCCAGAAAUCUACUGAAUUUCCCAACAACUGGAAAUCAAACACUCACUGCUCUGAACAUCAACAAGAAAAAUGGAAACCUCAGCAGGCUGUGCUGUUCUUUGAUACAGUAGCAAAUGGAUUGGAUGAGCCUGAUGACCUUUCUGAGUACGUGCUUCAAGGAUUCACUUGCUCUCGUGUCCAGACUUUCACCAAAACAAAAAUUAAACCUCUCAUCAGAGCUUGAAGAUGUAGGGCCGGUCGAAGAAAGGUGGUUCUCAAGGAGACACAGGUGAAUAUUAAAAAUACAACUUUUUGUACAUAAACUAAAGGGCCCUACUCAAUCAAAACCGUUAGCCAGGCCUCCAGAUUACAUUGUUAAUGUGCCUGUAUGUUUUAUUGUAUUUUUUAUGGCUACAUGAAUCCAAGCAUGUAUUCUCUCAGCACAAGAAUGACAAUAGUUACUGGAAACCCAGUAACUGAAUAUAUAUUGAAUAUGUUUCUCUGUUUUCAAGGAGCUUAUUUUACAGACAUGAGAA